ACUUUACAAUUUAUUCUUGUUUCAUAAAUUUAUAGUUUUACUUGAACUAAAUAUAUUAUUGUUCGGUUGGGGCGACUAUUAUAUAAUUUUUAAUAACUGUAAUUUAAAUUAAUAAAUCUGUUUAGUUAGUUGAUCCUUUUAUAAAGAUUAAAAGAUUAAGUU
rnacentral:rRNA from 1 species